AAGGAGCACACGGCAGCUUCGGCCGAAUGUCCCGGAGUGCUUGCUCAUGGGUGGAACGUUGACUAUUCGGCACACUCGGUAGGGAUCACUAGUACUGCUUCGGCGUGGAAGACGUGGUCACCAGCUUGGUGUGUCGGGCACGUUGUUGGGUCCUGAGGGACGGAGUGAUCGUUGCCUCAUGGAGUGCCGGUCCCAUGCCGGGCGUCCCUGUACUGGGGGUGUCGGGGGUGGGUGUCUGGUCGUUGUUUGAGAACUGCACAGUGGACGCGAGCAUCUGU
rnacentral:misc_RNA from 1 species